UACGUAGGGUGCAAGCGUUGUCCGGAAUUAUUGGGCGUAAAGAGCUCGUAGGCGGUCUGUCGCGUCGGCUGUGAAAUCCCGGAGCUCAACUCCGGGCCUGCAGUCGAUACGGGCAGACUGGAGUUCGGCAGGGGAGACUGGAAUUCCUGGUGUAGCGGUGAAAUGCGCAGAUAUCAGGAGGAACACCGGUGGCGAAGGCGGCAUCCUGGACCGGCAUUGACGCUGAGGCGCGAAAGCGCGGGGAGCGAACAGG
rnacentral:rRNA from 1 species